rnacentral:rRNA from 1 species
UAUCCUGGCUCAGAUUGAACGCUGGCGGCAUGCUUUACACAUGCAAGUCGAACGGCAGCGCGGGGCAACCUGGCGGCGAGUGGCGAACGGGUGAGUAAUAUAUCGGAACGUACCCAAGAGUGGGGGAUAACGUAGCGAAAGUUACGCUAAUACCGCAUACGAUCCAAGGAUGAAAGCAGGGGAUCUUCGGACCUUGUGCUCCUGGAGCGGCCGAUAUCUGAUUAGCUAGUUGGUGAGGUAAAGGCUCACCAAGGCCACGAUCAGUAGCUGGUCUGAGAGGACGACCAGCCACACUGGAACUGAGACACGGUCCAGACUCCUACGGGAGGCAGCAGUGGGGAAUUUUGGACAAUGGGCGAAAGCCUGAUCCAGCAAUGCCGCGUGAGUGAAGAAGGCCUUCGGGUUGUAAAGCUCUUUUGUCAGGGAAGAAACGGUGAGGGCUAAUAUCCCUCGCUAAUGACGGUACCUGAAGAAUAAGCACCGGCUAACUCUGUG